GUGAGAACGGCGAUCACCUUUCAUAGCAGGAGGGGAUGCUGGCGCUGUUCUCUUUCUUGAUCUGGUUGCUGGUUACUCGAGGCAAAGCAGAUCCACUCAAAGGCUUCAAAGGGCCCUGACAGAAGGCACUUCCAGCCCGGUGGAAUGGCAUGCUGGGCAGGCGGAGCGGAUACGUAACAUGUGCUUCAAAGGGGUAUGCAGAUUAAACACAACCGCGAGCCAGCGGGGAGUGCCCUGGGUGACCUUGGAGGUGGCCCUGGUCCGCUGGGCUCUGGCUGCUCCUCGGGGUGUGAGGUGCAUGAGGUGUGACGGGGCAAGGCCGUGGGUCCCCCACUGCCAGCUGAUCCUCAUCGCAGACCAGCGCACCACACUUGUCAGAGCAGAAGCGUCAAAGAAGUCGCUGGCCUGAAAGCACAGAGGCCUGGCUAGUGGGUCUGAGGGACGGCUAACGUCACAUCUGGGGAAUCCCACUCACCCACAGCCUGGAUGUCCCCCAGACACACUCUUCACCUUGACCCAGUAAGGAUCUGCUGUCCCGGAAGGACGACUACAACUGCUGACGCUUCCCAGUCUGCAGGUGCCAUCAACACGCCAGGCGAGAAACACCAAGGGACAAACCCUCCAGAGCAGAGAGAGCAGUGAAGGGCGAAGGAGAGAUUGCAGCACACUCCGGGAGGCUGGGAAGCAUGGCGGCUGCCUCGGGGGAUGCUCGUCCCUCAGGGGGCGGAUGCCGACAGGAGGGAGGCAAGCUGCUGCGCCCCCAGACCCUGGAAGGGCUCAGACCCCAGGGGAAGACCAGGUGGGGCUUUGUUUCCUUCCUGGAACCUGGGCGGGCUGUGCUGCUGUGGAGGUGAUGCUACCUGAUGGCCAAGGCCAGGCCAGAAGAGG